rnacentral:lncRNA from 1 species
AGGGGGUGGGGCCUAUGUUGUUGGCAGGGUAAGCGUAAUUUGCAUCUGAAAGGGGCGUGGCCUGAAAUUGUGGGCGGGGCUUAUAAGGGGGGUGGAGCCUCUGGGAGCGUGGCCCAGAGUCGUGGGCGGAGCCUAGGAAGUGGGCGGGGUUGAGAUAGCAAAAGGGGCGUGGCCGUAACGGGGGCGGAGCCCAUGUUGUUGUGGGCGGGGCUUAGCGUAUGGUGCAUCCGGAAAAGGGGCGUGGCCUGAAGGGGGUGGGGCCUAUGUUGUUGUGGGCGGGGCUUAGCUUAGGAUGCAUCCGGAAAAGGGGCGUGGCCUGGCGUUGUGGGCGGAGCCUAGUGUGUGUGGGGGGCUGGACCAGGAAAGGAGGCGUGGCCUGAAGGGGUGGAGCCUAAUAAUGCGGGCGGGACCCAGAGUGGUGGGCGGAGCCUAUAAUGUGGGCGGGGCUUAGCGUGGUUUGCAUCUGGAAAGGGGCGUGGACUUGAGUUGUGGGCGGAGCCGAGACAGGAAAAGGGGAGGGGCCUGAAGAGGUGGAGCCUAUAACGUGGGCGGGGCCCAGGGUGGUGGGCAGAGCAUAGGAAGUGGGCGGGGCUGAGAUAGCAAAGGGGCGUGGCCGUAACGGGGGUGGAGCCUAUGUUAUGUGGGCGGGGCUUAGCGUCCGGUGCAUCCAGAAGGGGCGUGGCCUGUCGAUGUGGGCGGAGCCUAUAGCGUGGGCGGGGCUUAGUGUAGGGUGCACCUGAAAGGGGGCGUGGCCUGAAGAGGGUGGAGACUAUGUUGUUGUGGGCGGGGCUUAGCAUAGGGUGCAUCCGGAAGGGGCGUGGCCUUGAGUUGUGGGUGGAGCCGAGAUCGGAAAAGGGGCGAGGCCUGAAGGGUGGAAUCUUUGCUGUUGUGGGCGGGGCUUAGCCUGAGCGCAUCCGGAAAUGGGCGUGGCCUUGAGUUGGGGGGGCUAGGAAGUGGGGGGGGUUGAGAUAGCAAAAGGGGCGUGGCCGGAAAGGGGUGGAGCCUAUGUUGUGUGGGCGGGGCUUGGCGUCCUGUGCAUCCGGAAGGGGCGUGGCCUGGUGCUGUGGGCGGAGCUAAGAAGGGGUGGAGAAUGCAGGGGUGGAGCCUGAGGGGGGCGUGGCCCAGAGUGGUGGGCGGGGCCUAUGAUGUGGGUGGGGCUGGGCAACCAAAAAAGGGGGGUGUGGUCUUAAGGGCGUGGCCAAUG